AGUGAACGCUGGCGGUAGGCCUAACACAUGCAAGUCGAACGGCAGCACAGUAAGAGCUUGCUCUUACGGGUGGCGAGUGGCGGACGGGUGAGGAAUACAUCGGAAUCUACUUUUUCGUGGGGGAUAACGUAGGGAAACUUACGCUAAUACCGCAUACGACCUACGGGUGAAAGCAGGGGAUCUUCGGACCUUGCGCGAUUGAAUGAGCCGAUGUCGGAUUAGCUAGUUGGCGGGGUAAAGGCCCACCAAGGCGACGAUCCGUAGCUGGUCUGAGAGGAUGAUCAGCCACACUGGAACUGAGACACGGUCCAGACUCCUACGGGAGGCAGCAGUGGGGAAUUUUGGACAAUGGGCGCAAGCCUGAUCCGGCCAUACCGCGUGGGUGAAGAAGGCCUUCGGGUUGUAAAGCCCUUUUGUUGGGAAAGAAAAGCAGCAGGUUAAUACCCCGCUGUUCUGACGGUACCCAAAGAAUAAGCACCGGCUAACUUCGUG
rnacentral:rRNA from 1 species